AUGGAAGCCAGCAACAUCGGUGACACCCUUCAGAUCAGGGGCUACCUGGAAGGAAAAGCAGCAAUACUGUACCUACCAGUAUCACCCAGAGCACCACAGGGAGACUUGGGGUGUGUCUCUAGCUACCAGAAAUUGCCAGCAGUGCACCCCACAGCUUCUCCAGGACCAGCUGGCUACAUUUCCCUUGGAAAGUUAGCUGAUAGCACUUGGCAUCAACUAUGCUCAGAAGGAAGAAUAGUGCUUACUAUCUCCAGUCUAUGUUUUACAAAUCUAACAGAUGGGGGAAGAGAUGCCCUAAUGUCUGAUCCAAUACAGAGGGUCCAGUGGUCCCUGACCAGGCAGAGACUUUAUUUCAGGUAACGGACUCUGGUUUGGGUUUGAAAUGAGAUAUAUAGGAGGGAUGGGGAUCAAAAAUACCUGUUUCCUUCAGGGUAUUUAUUUUUU
rnacentral:lncRNA from 1 species